rnacentral:rRNA from 1 species
AUUGAACGCUGGCGGCAGGCCUAACACAUGCAAGUCGAGCGGAUGAAGGGAGCUUGCUCCUGGAUUCAGCGGCGGACGGGUGAGUAAUGCCUAGGAAUCUGCCUGGUAGUGGGGGAUAACGUCCGGAAACGGGCGCUAAUACCGCAUACGUCCUGAGGGAGAAAGUGGGGAUCUUCGGACCUCACGCCUUCAGAUGAGCCUAGGUCGGAUUAGCGAGUUGGUGGGGUAAAGGCCUACCAAGGCGACGAUCCGUAACUGGUCUGAGAGGAUGAUCAGUCACACUGGAACUGAGACACGGUACAGACUCCUACGGGAGGCAGCAGUGGGGAAUAUUGGACAAAGGGCGAAAGCCUGAUCCAGCCAUGCCGCGUGUGUGAAGAAGGUCUUCGGAUUGUAAAGCACUUUAAGUUGGGAGGAAGGGCAGUAAGUUAAUACCUUGCUGUUUUGACGUUACCAACAGAAUAAGCACCGGCUAACUUCGUG